CUCUGAACAAGGCUAUUAAGACACUCUUUCAAGUUUUCCCUCUGGGAAGGUUUGCAGCAGCUGCACUGAAAGGAAGAGAUCUGAAGAUUCUGUUAAGCUUCUUCUAAGAAGAUAAGACCUCACUGAACCUUGCCGUACAAAAAAUGAGCUACAGGCCACCUAGGCAUAACUAUUCAGAAAUACAUAUUAAAAUGAAGAUUCUUGAAGCUGCUGUGAACUUAAUGAAUCAGAUCCUCAGAAUCUUGGCCAGAAAUUUUAACAGUGUGAUGGUAAAUUGUACAUGUCAACCUGACAAGGCUGAGGAAUGCCCAGAUACCUGGUAAAAACUUUAUUUCUAGGUAUGUUCUUGUAGGUGUUUCUGUUUGAACCAGUGGGAGGAGUAAAGAAGAUAAGGGUGAUUAUUGUGCAGUCUCCUGAGGAACAGAAUGCCACAAAGCAUGGCAGAAGGGUGAUAUUCUCUUGGCUUAAGCUUGAACUCUCAUCUUCUCCUGCCCUUGGACAUUGAUAUUUGUGGUUCUCAGGCUUUUGGAUUCAGACCAGAACUGAUAUCACUGCCCUCUAACUCUCAGAUUAAGACUGAAACGCAUAAUCACCUUUUCUGGUUCUCCAAUUUGCAGAUGGAACAUUGUGGGACUCUUUGCAACAUAACUGUGUGAGUCAAUUCCUGUAACAAAUCUCCUUUUGUGUAUUUCCCUAUGUGGUCUAUUGCUUCUGUUUCUCUGGGGAACCCAGACUAAUACAUACCUUCAUCUGCACUCUUAACCAACAACUCAGGCAAUUCUGAUGAACUGUGAAUUUACAAAUCUAUGUCAAGAAAAUAACUUUUUGAUGGAACUUUGGGGCCUAAUGUUCAAAUGCGCAUAGGUAGGAAAAAUCAAGACUCAUUUCAGUUUUGCCUCUGUUUUCUCCCUUUAGGGUGAGUUUUCAAAUAUCAUAUCUAUUCUAUUCACUAUUCUAUUCCUACUGGCUAUCAUAGUGCCUACCAUACCAUAGUGGCAAGCUGGCUAUACAUAAUCAAAAAAUAGGAAAGAAUAAAAAUUGAAUUGUGAUAAAAGUCAUUUAGCAAACAAGAUUCUUUCAACAAAUAAGAUUUAUUUGGUACUUUUUGUGUUCCAGACACUGUAUUAAGAAAUGAGGAUACUGCUCUGAGCAAUAUAGGCAAGUGCCUACUUUCACUAAAUCCAUAUUUUUCUAGAAAAAUAUAAGCAUUAAACAUAGUAUGUUUAGUCUCAGAGAUAGCUGCAAUGAAAACUAAAAUAGAAAAUUGAUAUAAAAUGCAGGGGGGUUGUUACUCCAACAUUUAUUUCUAUAUUUUUAUUCUGUUUGGAUAUCUAACCACUGGGUGGGUAUACUCUGAUUAAUAAUUGGUUAUGGUAAUCCCAUUCUCCUUUGCAUGAGUUUUAUAGUUCAACAGGUGAUCCAUUUCUGAAAAGUGAGAAAUAAAUCAAAAUAUUUUACUAGUAGUUUCUUUACUCUUCAGGUAAAAUAUAAGUAGGAGCAAUGGCCUUUUCCUUUGAGGAAUUUCAGAUUGUGUAUGACAAUCAGGGUUAUGCAGCUGAUGAGGAGGAAUAGGAUAACAAAGGGGCAUAUCCUACUUCUUGAUAGUUCUAGUAAACACCUGAAUUUACCAA